GAUGAAGAACGUAGCGAAAUGCGAUAAGUAAUGUGAAUUGCAGAAUUCAGUGAAUCAUCGAAUCUUUGAACGCACAUUGCGCCCCCUGGUAUUCCGGGGGGCAUGCCUGUUCGAGCGUCAUUACAACCCUCAAGCUCUGCUUGGUAUUGGGCCCCGCCAGUUCUGGCGGGCCCUAAAGUCAGUGGCGGUGCCUUCCGGCUCCGAGCGUAGUAAUUCUUCUCGCUCUGGAGACCCGGUUGUGUGCUUGCCAACAACCCCCAAAUUUUUAAGGUUGACCUCGGAUCAGGUAGGGAUACCCGCUGAACUUAAGCAUAUCAAUAAGCGGAGGA
rnacentral:misc_RNA from 1 species